UACUGUAUAUCUAUAUUAUUACUGUAUACGUGUCUCAGUUUUUUUUUUUUAAUGGAAUGGCAUUCAGUAAAUGAUCCAACUCUCUGAAAAAUAUCUCUGAAAUAACUGUCUUGAGAUAUUUUUUCAGUCUUUAUGACAGCCAUAUUCACUUUAUAAACAGUAAAAUAAAAAGCGUCGGAUGUGACGAAUCACCAGGCUUUUUAGGCACUUUAAACUUUCCAGUCAUCUCACGUGUUUACAGACGACAAUCCAUAUAUGGGAAACCGGAAACUAAGCGCCAUACAUAAACUAGAGCGUUUUGAUUUUGAACUGAAAUGUAAACGAUUUCUCACCUGUCAAACGGCUUACACAGUCAAACUUCUAAAAAGGAACAGGAGGACCAAAAAGCGAUUGACACAAGUGGAGGCGAACAGAUCCUGACACGAACCAAGAUGUCUUCUCAGCUGAUGAUAAAUAGUGGCCUCCUCACAGGUAAUGGAUCCAGCACAUGGUUUUGGACACACUCCUGCGUCCCUUCAUCACAGAUUGAGUGAUGAACCUCUGACUGUAAGUGCAUUACAGACCUGACUCUCUGGCUAUACUUUAAAGAUACUGCAUUUAGUCCAUUCAGAAGGGUUUUUCUUUCCUUCCUAAACAUAGAACUGAAUGUCGCUCAUUUAUUUCAGCUGCUCUCCUAUGAGGAAACAUAGGAACUGCCAAAAAGCAAUGUGAUUAGGCUCAGUCGAACCUGAGAGAUUGUUAUUUUUGCAUCCAUGCCAGGGUAUAAAAGCACACCUUGUACAUUAUAUGAAAUGCUGGAGCUCAGCGUCUCUGACAAAAGAAGAAAUGUUGUGCGGUGUUGGUUACGGUGUGUUGUAGCUACUGUUCCAUUUUAAUGAUUUGGGCUUUCCACCACUGCCGGGACCCAGAACUUCACACAGUGUCUUAAUUCAUACUAUGUCCAUUUUGUUUUCACAUAUUGUCUUUAUUGUGUGCUGGAAGUUUUAUAGUUUGUUUUCACAUUUAAGGCCUUUGUUGCAUUAUUUUAGUUUGAUAAUUAAUCACGCUUUCUAAGGUGUUCCACUUAGCUGCCGCAAACAUUUUAAGAGGGUUAUAUUAUCAUAUGUCUAAAAAAAUCCAUCGUUCAUGCAAAGGACUGGUUGAAAAACAUAAUGUACCAUCAUUACUCAUCUUAGGUCUCGGUGAAUUGCUUUUCUGAUGAGAAAAAAUAAAGCUAGAGAAAGUGCAAGCAUGAUGAAUCAAAAACACAUGAAUGAAUCAACAGUUUAUUACAAUCACAAUUAGGGGGCUGAUUGCAAUCAGAUGAUGUCGUAUACGUUUCAGUUGAUUGCUUUAUAUGCAUCAUUCCAGUUCCAAGUCCUCUCAGUCUCAGGUUUAGAGCCUCUAUGCUGUAGACCCUAUCAUGAUGUUUAAUGUAUAUUAUUAAUUAUAGUGCACAAAAAUUGUUUUGUAUUAUCAUAACUCUGUGGAGAAAUCGCUACAUAAGAGAGAAGUCAGUGGAUGUUCUGCAUUCAAACACACAUGAAUCAUGAAUAAAUGACCUAUUAAAUUAAUCUUCAAGUCUGGAAAGUAAAUAAACAGAGCCACCAAAUUGUCACCUGUCACCCUCCUCCUUUAUGUAACAUAUUAUACAUAUACAGACUUUUCUACUGUACUUCAUGAAGGACCGCCAUUGAUCCACAAAUAACACUAGCCAUAACAUCAGCUGUUUGGCACUGGCGCUUUUAGUUUGAUUUUCCAUGCUUUAAAGUAUUCUCUCAAAGACUUGUGUGUUUGUCAGGUUUUGCUUACAUUAUGUGGACAAAAAGUCCCCACAAGGUGAGUAAAAGCUGAACUCGCAUAUAUUGUGGUUCCCA
ensembl:lncRNA